GAUGAACGCUAGCGGGAGGCCUAAUACAUGCAAGUCGAGCGGUAGAGUGACUUCGGUUGCUUGAGAGCGGCGAACGGGUGAGUAACGCGUACACAAUCUACCUUUAAGAGGGGAAUAGCCCUGGGAAACUGGGAUUAAUGCCUCAUGGCAUCACGAGACGGCAUCGUUUUGUGAUUAAAGCUGAGGUGCUUAGAGAUGAGUGUGCGUCUGAUUAGCUAGUUGGUGCGGUAACGGCGCACCAAGGCGACGAUCAGUAGGGGGCGUGAGAGCGUGGACCCCCACACGGGUACUGAGACACGGACCCGACUCCUACGGGAGGCAGCAGUAAGGAAUAUUGGUCAAUGGAGGAAACUCUGAACCAGCCAUCCCGCGUGCAGGAAGAAUGCCCUAUGGGUUGUAAACUGCUUUUAUCUGGGAAGAAAGUCGGGAUUUAUCCUGAUCUGACGGUACCAGAGGAAUAAGCACCGGCUAACUCCGUGCCAGCAGCCG
rnacentral:rRNA from 1 species